UACGUAGGUGACAAGCGUUGUUCGGAAUCACUGGGCUUAAAGGGCGCGUAGGCGGGUGCUCAAGUCCGUGGUGAAAUCCUCCGGCUCAACCGGAGAACUGCCAUGGAUACUGGGUGUCUCGAGGGUGAUAGGGGUAUGCGGAACUAUCGGUGGAGCGGUGAAAUGCGUAGAUAUCAUAAGGAAGACCAGUGGCGAAGGCGGGUCUCUGGACAGUUCCUGACACUGAGACACGAAGGCCAGGGGAGCAAACGGG
rnacentral:rRNA from 1 species